rnacentral:rRNA from 1 species
GGGGAAUAUUGGACAAUGGGCGAAAGCCUGAUCCAGCCACGCCGCGUGUGUGAUGAAGGUCUUCGGAUCGUAAAGCACUGUGGGGAGGGAAGAAUAGCCUGCGGGAACAAUACCCCGUGGGUCUGACGGUACCUCCUUAGCGAGCACCGGCUAACUCCGUGCCAGCAGCCGCGGUAAUACGGAGGGUGCAAACGUUGCUCGGAAUCAUUGGGCGUAAAGCGCGUGUAGGCGGCUCGUUAAGUUGAGUGUGAAAGCCCUGGGCUUAACCCAGGAAGUGCGCUCAAAACUGGCGAGCUAGAGUACGGGAGAGGGCAGUGGAAUUCCCGGUGUAGAGGUGAAAUUCGUAGAUAUCGGGAGGAACACCAGUGGCGAAGGCGGCUGCCUGGACCGAUACUGACGCUGAGACGCGAAAGCGUGGGUAGCAAAC